CUCUAACCCAGCACUUUGCAACCAGCUUCCCUCAGGGAAGAUGUAAAGGACCGUGGGGGUCAGACAACAGUCCAUCGAACUGAAAAUAAGUAAGCAAGGCACAGUGCAUGAAAACCAACAUGUGGAAAACUUAAAAGAAUGGAUCUGUUUUUUAAAGAAAUGAUUUGGAUAAUGCUGGUUAAUAUCAAGGCAGAAAAGUUUCUCUUCAUACUUUCCAGUUUUAUAUGGUGAGGGUACGUGGAUGGUUGGAACACAGUUGUAACAUCAUUGACCGUCAAGAAAAAAAAACUGAAUAAAAAUCUUAAAGGAACAACUCGUCCCUACACAUCUAUAGAGAGAAAGAAAGAAUCUACAACAAACUCUCGGUCUGAUUUUUCACACAACCAUGAAAAGACUUUGUUAGUCGUCUGUUUAACUAUAUUUGUUAUGGACUGGGGAUGUUUGUAGGACUUUUAGAUAGUUAUUGUGUAGAAUUGUAUUUAUAUUGUAUUUAUAUGAAACA